rnacentral:rRNA from 1 species
AGGGUGAAGGGGUUGCAAUAAACUGGUGGCUGCGACUGUUUAAUAAAAACACAGCACUCUGCAAACACGAAAGUGGACGUAUAGGGUGUGACGCCUGCCCGGUGCCGGAAGAUUAAAUGAUGGGGUGCAAGCUCUUGAUUGAAGUCCCGGUAAACGGCGGCCGUAACUAUAACGGUCCUAAGGUAGCGAAAUUCCUUGUCGGGUAAGUUCCGACCUGCACGAAUGGCGUAACGAUGGCCACACUGUCUCCUCCCGAGACUCAGCGAAGUUGAAGUGUUUGUGAUGAUGCAAUCUCCCCGCGGCUAGACGGAAAGACCCCAUGAACCUUUACUGUAGCUUUGCAUUGGACUUUGAACCGAUCUGUGUAGGAUAGGUGGGAGGCUAUGAAGCGUGAACGCCAGUUUGCGUGGAGCCGUCCUUGAAAUACCACCCUGGUUUGUUUGAGGUUCUAACCUUGGCCCGUGAUCCGGGUCGGGGACAGUGCAUGGUGGGCAGUUUGACUGGGGCGGUCUCCUCCCAAAGUGUAACGGAGGAGUACGAAGGUACGCUAGGUACGGUCGGAAAUCGUGCUGAUAGUGCAAUGGCAUAAGCGUGCUUAACUGCGAGACCGACAAGUCGAGCAGGUGCGAAAGCAGGUCAUAGUGAUCCGGUGGUUCUGUAUGGAAGGGCCAUCGCUCAACGGAUAAAAGGUACUCUGGGGAUAACAGGCUGAUACCGCCCAAGAGUUCAUAUCGACGGCGGUGUUUGGCACCUCGAUGUCGGCUCAUCUCAUCCUGGGGCUGUAGCCGGUCCCAAGGGUAUGGCUGUUCGCCAUUUAAAGAGGUACGUGAGCUGGGUUUAAAACGUCGUGAGACAGUUUGGUCCCUAUCUGCCGUGGGCGCUGGAUAUUUGAAGGGGGCUGCUCCUAGUACGAGAGGACCGGAGUGGACGAACCUCUGGUGUACCGGUUGUCACGCCAGUGGCAUCGCCGGGUAGCUAUGUUCGGAAGAGAUAACCGCUGAAAGCAUCUAAGCGGGAAACUCGCCUUAAGAUGAGAUAUCCCCGGGGCUUCGAGCCCCUUGAAGGGUCGUUCAA